CCUACGGGUGGCUGCAGUGAGGAAUAUUGGUCAAUGGGCGCGAGUCUGAACCAGCCAAGUAGCGUGAAGGAUGACUGCCCUACGGGUUGUAAACUUCUUUUAUAAAGGAAUAAAGUGAGGCACGUGUGCCUUUUUAUAUGUACUUUAUGAAUAAGGAUCGGCUAACUCCGUGCCAGCAGCCGCGGUAAUACGGAGGAUCCGAGCGUUAUCCGGAUUUAUUGGGUUUAAAGGGAGCGUAGAUGGGUUGUUAAGUCAGGUGUGAAAGUGUGCGGCUCAACCGUAAAAUGGCAAUUGAUACUGGCAGUCGUGAGUACAGGUGAGGUAGGCGGAAUGCGUGGUGUAGCGGUGAAAUGCGUAGAUAUCACGAAGAACUCCGAUGGCGAAGGCAGCUUACUAAACUGCCACUGACAUUGAUGCUCGAAAGUGUGGGUAUCAAACAGGAUUAGAUACCCGGGUAGUC
rnacentral:rRNA from 1 species